rnacentral:rRNA from 2 species
UUUAUUGGAGAGUUUGAUCCUGGCUCAGGAUGAACGCUGGCGGCGUGCCUAAUACAUGCAAGUCGAGCGGA